CGCAGCAAAAUGCGAUAAGUAAUGUGAAUUGCAGAAUUCAGUGAAUCAUCGAAUCUUUGAACGCACAUUGCGCCCGCCAGUAUUCUGGCGGGCAUGCCUGUUCGAGCGUCAUUUCAACCCUCAAGCCCCUCGGGUUUGGUGUUGGGGAUCGGCGAGUCCUAGGACCAGCCGGCCCCGAAAUCUAGUGGCGGUCUCGCUGCAGCCUCCAUUGCGUAGUAGCUAACACCUCGCAACUGGAACGCGGCGCGGCCAAGCCGUUAAACCCCCAACUUCUGAAUGUUGACCUCGGAUCAGGUAGGAAUACCCGCUGAACUUAAGCAUAUCAAUAAGCGGAGGAACAAUCG
rnacentral:rRNA from 1 species